UGCCCAGCAACUCCUAUCCCUACCUCCACGCAGUACCGGCCGGAAACUAUGAGCAACCAUAGGGAAGAUCGGGUAACCAACCCCGGUGGGAACUUUGGUCGUAGGCUGACAGGGAAGG
rfam:Aedes albopictus isolate Foshan contig130211, whole genome shotgun sequence.